rnacentral:tRNA from 1 species
GCCGAGGUGGCGGAAUCCGGUAACGCGUGCGCCUGGAAAGCGCAUGUCCUCACGGACUUUUGGGUUCAAAUCCCAACCUCGGCG